rnacentral:rRNA from 1 species
UGGGGAAUUUUGGACAAUGGGCGCAAGCCUGAUCCAGCCAUGCCGCGUGUCUGAAGAAGGCCUUCGGGUUGUAAAGGACUUUUGUUAGGGAGCAAGUCCUGCAGGUUAAGAGCCAGUAGGGAUGAGAGUACCUAAAGAAUAAGCACCGGCUAACUACGUGCCAGCAGCCGCGGUAAUACGUAGGGUGCAAGCGUUAAUCGGAAUUACUGGGCGUAAAGGGUGCGCAGGCGGUAUUGUAAGCCAGAUGUGA